rnacentral:rRNA from 1 species
GCAUAUCAAUAAGCGGAGGAAAAGAARMCAACCGGGAUUGCCUCAGUAACGGCGAGUGAAGCGGCAAGAGCUCAAAUUUGAAAGCUGGCUCCUUCGGGGUCCGCAUUGUAAUUUGCAGAGGAUGCUUCGGGUGCAGCCCCCGUCUAAGUGCCCUGGAACGGGCCGUCAUAGAGGGUGAGAAUCCCGUAUGGGGCGGGGUGUCUGCGUCCGUGUGAAGCUCCUUCGACGAGUCGAGUUGUUUGGGAAUGCAGCUCUAAAUGGGUGGUAAAUUUCAUCUAAAGCUAAAUACUGGCCGGAGACCGAUAGCGCACAAGUAGAGUGAUCGAAAGAUGAAAAGCACUUUGAAAAGAGAGUUAAACAGCACGUGAAAUUGUUGAAAGGGAAGCGCUUGCAACCAGACUCGCUCGUGGGGUUCAGCCGGGCUUCGGCCCGGUGUACUUCCCCGCGGGCGGGCCAGCGUCGGUUUGGGCGGCCGGUCAAAGGCCUCCGGAAUGUAGCGCCCUUCGGGGCGCCUUAUAGCCGGGGGUGCAAUGCGGCCAGCCUGGACCGAGGAACGCGCUUCGGCACGGACGCUGGCAUAAUGGUUGUAAACGACCCGUCUUGAAACACGGACCAAGGAGUCUAACAUCUACGCGAGUGUUCGGGUGUCAAACCCGUACGCGCAGUGAAAGCGAACGGAGGUGGGAGCCCCCUCGCGGGGCGCACCAUCGACCGAUCCUGAUGUCUUCGGAUGGAUUUGAGUACGAGCGUAGCUGUGGGGACCCGAAAGAUGGUGAACUAUGCCUGAAUAGGGCGAAGCCAGAGGAAACUCUGGUGGAGGCUCGCAGCGGUUCUGACGUGCAAAUCGAUCGUCAAAUUUGGGUAUAGGGGCGAAAGACUAAUCGAWCCAUCUGGUAGCUGGUUCUGCGA